UACGGGCCUUCACCACAAAAAGGCGCCCGCCAUAAAUGGUCUCUUGCCAAAAGCUAAAUGGAAAAAUGGGAUCUUAAUUUUCUACUGUAUGUGUACUGAAAUUUUAUUACUAGCAACACUAUCGCCACGGCCAUUUGUAAAGAGUGAAGAGAGCGUAUAAGUAAUUACUUCUUACUUCUAAAAUGUAAGAACACAGCAAUACAACCGAUAUUUCAUGACAGAAUGUCUACGAUUCUACUUAUGUGAACAGAAAGUUAAAUUAAAUCGAAUACAUUAUUCUUGUAGCAUUGAAGAGAUCUGCACAUGUCUGGAUAGUCUACGGAACGUAAAAAAAAGUUGGCACAAACUAUAGAUAAAACUAUGUGCGCAAUAAACUAAAAUAAGAUAAAGUAUGCGCGACGGCGAGAGUUGUAAAGUUUUUGCUGAGGAAUAAAUGACGUCAAACAAGGGCAUACCGUAGAGUCGUCACUCAACUAAUACACUAGUUGACUGUACUACACGUGUAAGGGCCGCGUCAAGAGGCCGUAUUUGUAGUUACAUAGUCUUCUAACAUAUCUAACUGGAUGACGGCUUCACUUGCCCUUUUAAGAAAGCGAUCAAAAAUACUUCUUAAUUAAAAAUAUUACUUUUUUCCUUCUUUUUUUCUUCAUAUUAGGUUAUGUACCAAAUAAUUUUUAUUCCAUUAACCUUACGCUAUUACAUUUAUAAUAUUAGUAAGGAUAUGGAUUACAAAUCACCAAAGAAAUCUUUUAAACGUCCUAAAAAAACAAUUGUCGUAAUUUCCAACUUCAACUACAUGCAAAACGACAAAAAUAUAUUAGUACAUUAUAUACAGAACUGUCGAAGACAACUAUGGUUUAUAUGUCACGGUCAUAAUUAGAAUUCAAAUAAUCUGACAUAUUCUAAAAUAACCUACACCCACAUACCAAGUAGUGAGAUUGUUGAAGUCGCCAAAAAUCUAUGAAUGUGAAAGACGACGACGAAAGAUAAAAGAUUCACUGAUAGACUUUAGAAGGCUAACCUUAAUAAAUGUCUUGUCUUCCGGAAUUUAUCUUCCCUAAAUAUUUGAAUUUAGAACGCGGCAUCGAAUCAAAAUGCAAAAGGAGUUAUCUAUCCGUUUAGAAUUAUUUAGCUGUCGCAUAACGUACAAAAAAUACAUUCGAAUUAAGAACUACCUCUUUAAACUUGCGCUGUACGUACAACUAUAAAAAGAUCGUGUGCAAGUCACAUUAUAUUCAAAUCACGCCCAAAUUAUUUACCGCCGCUGAAACCCAUUACAAAAUCGAAGCUUUAUCUCUGAUUUAAUUCAAAUAAAGAAUUAUGGCAAUGCAGCCAUCUUGCUGAGAAUUCACCCUUCCUUACCAAGGAAGCCAACAUCCCGUUAACCAUUUCUCACGGGGCACACGAUCUAACUGAACAUUAGCAUGCACUUUACUAAACCGUUCUGCAUACAUUUGUUAGUCCGCAGACUGGAUUGACGGCAGUUUUAUGUGUUUACUCAUACACAUGGCUUUUAAGUAGACAGUGUUUAAAGUGCGAGAAUCGCAAUUUUAAUGUGUACAAAAGCAAGGCAACAGUUAGAAUAAUGUUUUACCUAACCUAUAAACUCAAAAAGUUAUAGAAUCUUGUCAAAAACGAAAAGAGCAAAUUGACAAUGAGUAAUUUAAAAGACACGUACAAAUAUUAAAAUUUAUUAUACAAAAAAAAAACAUAAUAAACUCAACGGAGUUUAACAUAUUCAUAAAUGUAUUUGAAUUAAUCCUCUCCAUCCUAAGGUUGCCUGGAAGAGAUCGCUGAUUAGUGAAAAGGCCGCCCUUUUAUACAAGAAAAAGACGUUGGCAAAUUAGCAUCGAGUCAUUUGCAGAUCGGAAUUACCUACUUUCACACUACUGAAACCGACAAGUGACAAGUGUGAAAGUAAAAUCGACUUAGCAUUAGUACACGGAGUUGCUAUUUAGUUAUCUAUUAAUUAACAUAUAUAGCGGACAAGAGCGAUUAGAUGCGAUAUCACUAGAGGAAGACUUUGUACAAAAGUCGAUUGCUUGGGUACCUCUGUCCCAUUGGUGUAUCAACCGUAAAACAGUUGUUUGCAUGGCUGUGUUUCGGUUUGAAGGGUGGGAUAUGGCGUGAAUUUACUGGGUACAGAGGAAUAACACCCGAGUCCUCAGAAAUGGCAACGCAUGGGGUGUAUCAUGGGCGAAACAGUAUACUCUGUUAUGUCCAUAGUACUGCUCAUGUCUAUAAGCGACGGUUACCAUUUUCCAUCAAGUGGGACUUCAACUUGCUUGCCAUUCUAAGUUGUAUAAAAAAAAAUCUACAAUUUGCAUAUUGUUCUUUUGUUAUUUAAUAUAUCAUUAAAAAUAAUCUUAAAUCAAUAAAAUUCCGAAUCGAUGUAUUUUUGACAUCAAUUAAUGUCCACAAUUUAUAAUAAUAUAAUGUGAUAAAAUUGUCCUACACAAAAAACAUCAACUUCAACUAUUAAGAAACUAUAUGACCAUUGAAUAAUUCAAUAUUUCAAUAAUUUCAAUAAUAGCACAAUUAAAUUAUGGUAUUCAGCAAUAUAAU